GAUCUUAUCGUCUAACGGUUACGACAUCAUCUCUUCAUGUUGAAAAUAUCGGUUCAACUCCGAUUAAGAUUA
rfam:Vanderwaltozyma polyspora partial mitochondrial genome, strain DSMZ 70294